AAAAAGGCCCUUUUCAGGGCCACCAAUUGAUUAUGAAAAGGGUUG
rfam:Fukomys damarensis contig90630, whole genome shotgun sequence.